GACGCGUCGGGCGGGAACGGCGGGGGGCGCCGCGCGCCGGCCUCGGGGACCGCCAUGUUCCCCCGGGCGGUGUGAGGCAACGGCCGGGCGGGGCGAGGGCGCGCGUAGGCACCUUCUCCAGCCAAACGCCUCGUCUCCUUCAGGAAAGGGCACGGUGGCAUCGACUGCUUCCCUCAGGAGAUCAUUCCCCAGUUAACGGACACGCCAGUGGACGAGGUUAGCUGGGUAGAUCAAACCGGAGACAAGCGGUGAAGUUGGUGUUAUUCAGAGGAAAUGUCACUGAACUGCAGUUUGCAGGAUAAAAAAUAAAGUAGCAAGAAUGCAAUUGCUGGGACAUGACAGGCUUGGAGACCCACUGCCAACCAGAAAGGGAGCUUAUCUGGAAAGAUGAGUUAGAAAUGCUCGAUCUUCCACUUGGUUUCUCCAGUGAGUUUGUGAAGUUUUACCUUCGUAGAUUUGGUUGUUUUUUAUCUCUUUCAUGUCUUAUGAA